GACGAACGCUGGCGGCGUGCCUAAUACAUGCAAGUAGAACGCUGAAGAGAGGAGCUUGCUCUUCUUGGAUGAGUUGCGAACGGGUGAGUAACGCGUAGGUAACCUGCCUGGUAGCGGGGGAUAACUAUUGGAAACGAUAGCUAAUACCGCAUAAAAUGGAUUAUCGCAUGAUAAUCCAUUGAAAGGUGCAAAUGCAUCACUACCAGAUGGACCUGCGUUGUAUUAGCUAGUUGGUGGGGUAACGGCUCACCAAGGCGACGAUACAUAGCCGACCUGAGAGGGUGAUCGGCCACACUGGGAAUGAGACACGGCCCAGACUCCUACGGGAGGCAGCAGGAGGGAAUCUUCGGCAAUGGACGGAAGUCUGACCGAGCAACGCCGCGUGAGUGAAGAAGGUUUUCGGAUCGUAAAGCUCUGUUGUAAGAGAAGAACGAGUGUGAGAGUGGAAAGUUCACACUGUGACGGUAUCUUACCAGAAAGGGACGGCUAACUACGUG
rnacentral:rRNA from 1 species